ACGACCUCAACUCAGGCAAGAUUACCCGCUGAACUUAAGCAUAUCAGUAAGCGGAGGAAAAGAAAACAACUGUGAUUCCCUUAGUAACUGCGAGUGAAGCGGGAAAAGCCCAUCGUUUAAUCUUCCUGGACUGUGGACAGGACGACGUGUAACGGUAUGGAUAGGUGUACUACUGAUAAUGUCUGAUCAAAGUCCUCCGGAUUGAGGUGCCAAAGAGGGUGACAGCCCCGUAUGUGGUCAGAUGGAAUUGGGUAUGUAACCAAGUCCUAGAGUCGGGUUGUUUGGGAUUGCAACCUAAAGUAGGUGGUAAACUCCACCCAAGGCUAAAUAUAGACACGAAACCGAUAGCGAACAAGUACUGUGAGGGAAAGUUGAAAAGAACUCUGAAAAGAGAGUUAAAAGUACGUGAAACCGCUAACGGGGAAGCGGAAGGCAGUGUCGUGAUCUUGUGAGUGAGUUAUGAUAGGUGUGCCUAUUAUGACUAGCUUUACUUGAUGCGUCAGAUCUAUUGGUGCUACAUAUAAUACAAUUGUUCGCAUAGCUUUUACGACACCUGAAUUUUAUAUUUGGGCUUGUGAUUGUAGUGGAUAAUCAAUUAUAUGCACUGAUAUGUGUUGUGGUGUGGCGUUGGUGAUAUUUAUAUAUGGUCGGUUGGUGCUAUGUGAUACUAUAUGCUGGUUACAUUGUGACUACGUGUGUAGAUAUGUUAUGUGUGUGAUUCAACAACCAAUGCCAGUAUCUGACGAGAUACCUAACCUUCCGACCCGUCUUGAAACACGGACCAAGGAGGCAGAAUCUAGAGCGAGUUGGAGGGUGUAAAACCCGACGGCGUAGUGAAAGCAAGAGAUGAGAUCUACUGGUUUCGACUAGUGGCGCAUCAUCGGCCGGUCAUAAUUAAUGUGAUUGAGUUUGAGCUCUAGAUGCUGAACCCGAAAGAUGGUGAACUAUGCGUGAGCAGGGUGAAGCCAGAGGAAACUCUGGUGGAGGCUCGAAGCGAUUCUGACGUGCAAAUCGAUCGUUUGACUUGCGUAUAGGGGCGAUAGACUAAUCGAACCAUCUAGUAGCUGGUUCCCUUCGAAAUAUCCCUCAGGAUCGCUGAGACAAGUGAAAGACAGUUUCAUCGGGUAGAGCGAAUGAUUAGAGGAAUCGGGGAUAUAUUACUCUCGACCUAUUCUCAAACUAUCAAUCGGUGAUAGAUAUUGUUUUCUUGUGUGAAAUGAUAUGUGUAUAUGAAUGUCUUUGUCUCAAGUGGGCCAUUUUUGGUAAGCAGAACUGGCGAUGCGGGAUGAACCGAGAGUUGAGCUAAGGUGCCUAAGAACACGUUGAUAGAUACCACAAAAGGAGUCGGUCGAUAAAGACAGCAGGGCGGUGGCCCUGAAAGUAGGAAUCCGCUAAGGAGUGUCUAACAACUCACCUGCCGAAUCGACCGGCCCUGAAAAUGGAUGGCGCUGAAGCGUGUCACCGAUGCUCGACCUUUACUACGAGAAAUGAUGGUAAAGGGUAGAAGGGCGCAGCGGUAGCGAUAAAGUACAAAGUGUAAACUUGUGUGGAGCUGCCGUUGGUGUAGAUCUUGGUGGUAGUAGCAAUUAUAAAAGUGAGUAAAAACCUUUUAGGCCGAAGUGGAGAAGGGUUCCACGUGAACAGCAGUUGGACGUGGGUUAGUCGGUCCUAAGCGGUUGCCUAACGGCUAUUUCAAUGCUGACUUAUCAGUUGUAUGUGUGUGUGUAAUGUAUAUGUGUGCAAUGUUUGAAAUAGGUCAGAUUUCCGCGAAAGGGAAUCAGGUUAAUAUUCCUGAACCGGGCGAUGGAGACGCAGUUUUCUAAUGUUGUUAUUGGUCUCAUUAACGUGGGAUGGUGAUGAUGUUGCGAGUUGCUUAGCGGUAACGCAAACAAUCUCGGAGACGUUGAUAUCUGUGGCGGGGAGAAUUAUCUUUUCUGUAUAACAGGUAAACUACCUUGGAAUCGAGUCAUUCGGAGAUAAGGUAAAAAGCCUGGAAGAGCAUCGCAACUAUUGCAAUGUCCGCAUUAUAGGUGUCGACCCUUGAAAAUCCGAGGGAGUGGAUAAAUUUCACGCUCGUCCGUACCGAAUCCGCAUCAGGUCUCCUAGGUGUGCAGCCUCUGGCACUGGAACAAUGUAGGUAAGGGAAGUCGGCAAAAUAGAUCCGUAACUUUGGGAAAAGGAUUGGCUCUAAGGACCGGGCCAAUCGAGCUAGUGUUGCCUAGGUUAGUGGGGGUUGAACGGGACUUGUUUUGUGCCUGUGUAACAAUGGGUAUAGAGUGAGUUUGGUGAAACACACGCUGGCCCUGGAAUACCUGUGUGAAUUUGUGUUGGUUGAUUGUCUGUGUAUGUGUUUUGUAUGAAAUGUGUGGAUAGUUGUAUCAAUCGAUGGGAUUCUUUACGAGUGGCGAGCAUCGGUCAACUUAGAACUGUUACUAACAUGGGGAAUCCGACUGUUUAAUUAAAACAAAGCAUUGCGAUGGCCGGAAACGGUGUUGACGCAAUGUGAUUU
rnacentral:rRNA from 1 species